UCAUAUCAUAUCAUAUUACAGUAUAUCAUAACCGAAAAAAAAUUAAUGAAAAAUAAAAAAAGAAUCAGCCCACCGCCACGGCAGGCAGGCAGGCCACCAACAAAUAAAAAACCCACUCCUCCCCCUUGGAGUUCCUCCUCUUCACCCCUUGCACUCCCAGCAGCCCAGAGAGUGGAAAAUGCUACUACUGAUACCUUGCGAAAAGAUGGAGAGAACAAGCACGGCAACAAACACCGCUCUGCUAUGCAGUAUGCAGCUGUACCAUUUUGCAGUAGGGAGUGGGGAGUACUAUUUGGUUGCUUUCUUACUGGCUUACUGCAGCUGGCUCAGCACACAUCAUGAACCGUAACAUCCAUCAUCAAUCUAUGUGCAUUUUUCAUUCUGACUUGAUUGUUUCCUCUCCUUCUCUUCUUUACAGUUUUCUUUUUUGGUUGUAGAUCUUUAAGUCGCUUUCGUUUCCCUGAUUCUCAUGCCGAAAGCGACCUAUCAUAUCCUCCUCCUCCUCCUCCUCCUCUCUGAUUUAAUAUUGCGGUCUUCCGUAUUUCAUGCGACCGCCCUUCUUAUAGGUAUAUGCUGAUGCCUGUAUGUUUUGAGUUUCCGGGUCUCCUUUUCUGCUUCCUUCCUCUACACAUCUUUUGAACUGACCAUCUUUUUAUCCCUUCCGUUGAGGGUUUUGCCGGUUCUUUUCUAUUCAAGCCAGCUCUCAUCCACAGAGGCAUAUAUAUGCCCCUAAUCUGGUGUUCAAAAGUUAGGUAAAUUUAGGCAUCACAAAAAGCUUAGGGUUUCCAUCCAAAAUUCCUCGCCACAAGUAUUCCGAGUAUCAGUUUUGGUAGUAUAUUUACUUUACUACUGCUAGUUUAUGAGUCUAUUGUUUUAGAGAGCGUUCAUUUGUAUCACUUUAUCGUUUGAAAAACUUGGGCUGAGUCCUACCGUCUCUCCUGUUCUCGUCUACAUUAGCCUCUUCUUCUUUUGUUCUAGUAAUGGCCAGCUAUUGAUUUUCUGGUUCCUUUGUGGCUUUGAUGAUUUACGGUAUGUGGAAAAUAACGGCUCUCGACUUCUUUCUUCCUUUUAACUCUUAUUUCAAUCUCAUUACUCAGGUUAGGGUUGCAUAAUUGUUGACUCUGCCCGGUAAUAAGAAUGUUUACUUAGAUGAAUGUUAAGUUUGUUUGCAAUAAGGGAUUAAAAGGGAAAAAAAAAAAGUUUUGACUCCAUGUUUCUUUGGUCUCCACAAGCAUUGACCCCAUGGCUGUAGUACUACGUAGUUCUGUUUCCUUCUUGCUUCUAGAUUUUCUAGAUUUCAGGCAAAUCGCUUUAUGAUUGAUGAUGCUUCCUAGCACUCCUUGCUAGUAAUUAGGUUCCAAUUUCACCAUGUCUUAAGAAUAAAGGCCGUUUUAGAUUUAUGUUCAUCAGCUGCUCAAAGUGCCAGCCUUUUGAGCUUUGUUCUGGGAUGAGUAAUGUUAGUAUCACUUCCCGAUGAUUUUUGUAUUUGGGGUUCACUUUUCUCCAUUAUGCCAAUUAUUGUGAGCUAUCCUUUGUAUUGUAGUUUGGCCAUUGUGUAAUUGGAUUGUGCAUGAAGAACAAGAUGUAAAUUUGAAAUUCCUGCGGCUGCUUUUUGAACUUAUUGCAUUUCAUGUGUUCCUUGAAGCCUUGUAAAGAAACAAAAUAAGAUCAGGUUAUUUGCAUUUCAGCACAACUACUUCAAGCCCGAAGAAGCCUGUUGCUUUAUAAUUGAUCUUCUCCUUUUAUGUUAAAUCUGUUUCGCACCUGUGUAGCUGUGUGGUUUAUGCCGGUUGCUGGUGAUGACAUUAACAGCGUUAAUCGAUCCCUUGGACUUUACGUUGAUGUCUGGAUAGAAGUUAAAAGUUGUCCAUCUGUUCAAUGUGAAUAAUGGAUGAAAGGUUCCCGUUAGGUUUCUUGGUUAAAUGGAUGCAGACUUAACAAAAUUUUAAUAUGGUUUAAUUAUCAUUGAGAAGUGAAGGAGGAUCAAAUUGGUCAUAUAAUGACUUGCUGAUCAUUUUCAAUCAUUGGGGAAUUUGAUACAUAUUGAGCAGCUGAAUGAUGCGAUUAAUAGUGUCAUUAGGAAAUUGUGUGAGAGAGCUUCCUUCAGCCCACUCAUGGAUGAGAUCAGGGGUUGAAUUAGCUGCCGACUCAUUCACUUAAUCACUCAGUAGAAAGAUAAGAUUUGUGCUACUGUGGUUGAGUGAAUGAUGCGGGAGAUAAUUUUCUACCGGCUCCGUCUGUGCUUGGACUGAAGGGAGCUCCCUCUUGGUGUUGCCUUUACUUCUCUCUGAUCCAAAUGUUUCCUACUGUGUACUUGUUUUGAAAUGUCAAGCUUAUUUUUCUCCCCACCCUGAUUAGAACAUCUUACUGUUCAUUAACAUGGCUUGUCUCAUGAGCUUCUGAGGGCUUAUUACUACUUUUUUCCAUUUCCCAUUUAUUGGAGAACUGCUUUCACGCAGGACUAUCUAUUUUUUUUUUUUUUAAUAAAUUCGUCCUUGGUCAGAUCCUUAAGUUCUGGUCAAACUGGUAUGCUUUCUUCUGACAUGUAAUUCUGCUUGACGUAUGGGCUAACAAAAUUACAGAUGUUACUAGUCAUUUAUUGCAAUCCACCACCGCACCUUUCAUCUUUAACCAUUCUCCUUUUGCACUCCAGAUGUUAGGUUUUGAGUUGACCGCGGUCUUAGCAUGAUUGUAGAGCACUGCAAGUUAUAUCCCCGCAGUGAUUGUGGUGUGUGUUGUACCGGCUGGCUUUAACAGGCAUACUCCCUCAGAAACAUGUUACCGAGGGGCCUGCCAUGCAACCUGUGAAUUGUCAUGUCCUUUCCUGCAAUGUGUCAGCUAAUUUAAGUGGGUAUGUUCCGGUAAUGGAGUACUUUGCCGGGUAGAGAAACCACCACUAGGGAGGGCCAUUUGCUCUCUUUGUCCCUAAAUCAUUUUGGACCCUUCAAGGGCAUGGGCAUGGGCAUGGAUGGGUGAUAGCAGUCGAGCUAUCCUAAUAGAUGAGACUGCACCAGAUGCUGCUCUUCGUUAAAUUUUUAAUCCCAUUUCCAUUAGUUCUCUCUAAAAUUGUCAGGUUCCUUUGGCUAGCUGAUGACUUGGGAGGAUUCUAACAUCAUCCAAGUUUUGCAGGGAAAUGUUGCAUACUGGAGUUCAAUAUAUAGCUUUCUCUCCAGUCCAGUCCAGUCCAGUCAUCGAGGAGGCUGUUUCUUAAAGUUGCUAGCAAAACCCCCUCCUCCUUGUCAUCAUCUGGAAAGAAAUAGAAAGGAAAAGACUUCCACUUGCAGGUUUUUGUUCCUCCUCUACUGGUUAAAACUCUAUGGAUAAAGGAGAAGCAUGAUCGAUCCCCCUGGAUGCCUUGUAUCAUCAUGAUUCUCUCUCUUUGCAUGGCUCAUCUCACUGCAUAAGAAACUUUUGUUAAUAAUAAUAAUAAUAUGGUGAACAGUGCCUUAAUAAAGCUGCUGCAUUUCAUUUCUUUCUUAAAAAAAGAACCUCUUGAUUUGUGGAAGAUGAUGAUCCUUAGUUAGUUGUAUAUCAGAUAAGUUGUGUACUUUUGUAGCAAGUUGGCGAUGAAAGUAGUAUAGUAUAUGAUGUACAAGUACCAUAGGGCCUGGAGCUAAACUCACUUCAACUUUGCUUUAACUUGUUGGGAAA